GACGAACGCUGGCGGCGUGCUUAACACAUGCAAGUCGAACGGAAAGGCCCUGCUUUUGUGGGGUGCUCGAGUGGCGAACGGGUGAGUAACACGUGAGUAACCUGCCCUUGACUUUGGGAUAACUUCAGGAAACUGGGGCUAAUACCGGAUAGGAGCUCCUGCUGCAUGGUGGGGGUUGGAAAGUUUCGGCGGUUGGGGAUGGACUCGCGGCUUAUCAGCUUGUUGGUGGGGUAGUGGCUUACCAAGGCUUUGACGGGUAGCCGGCCUGAGAGGGUGACCGGCCACAUUGGGACUGAGAUACGGCCCAGACUCCUACGGGAGGCAGCAGUGGGGAAUAUUGCACAAUGGGCGGAAGCCUGAUGCAGCAACGCCGCGUGCGGGAUGACGGCCUUCGGGUUGUAACCCGCUUUCGCCUGUGACGAAGCGUGAGUGAGGGUAAUGGGUAAAGAAGCACCGGCUAACUACGUG
rnacentral:rRNA from 1 species